CGAAGUGUCGCCUUUUACUGUACGCCCAAUUUUCCUUUGCUUGACAGUAUCGCCCUUCACUUUACGCCUUGUUUACGUUACAGCUCCGAAUACGCCUUUUGCUUUUCAUUGGUUUAAAUAAAAUUUAAUAUUUCAAAUGAGUAAUAUUUUAAGCAGUUUGUUCAAUAUAAACACUUCCCAUUAACAGCUUAAACAGCAUAUGAUUUUACUCGCAAAUAGAUUAUUAUUUCGGCAUAAACGCAUCCAAAAGAUUUAGAUGAACCAAAUUUAAGUGAAACUGAGGCUAGAAUGUGUCAGGAGACUGUGACGAAAUUAUUCCAAAACUUAUUUUUCGUAAUCACGAAGCAUGAAACAUGCUUAUGCGAGCCCAACCAAUGUUUGAAAUAUUCAUAACUACAAACUUACUUGAAUAUCAGGGCAUCCAUGUCCAUCAAUCGUUCACCAACAGUAUCUUCAUCUUUAUUAUGAAACGAAGAAGGCGUGCUUUUGCUGUCUACUGAUUUGAGGAGCAUAGUACUGUGCCCUUUAGAGCGUUCAGGGAUUACACGUAGAACGUUCAUUAUACAGUUUUUUUUUCGCAUAAACAGCACACGAUUUUAAUUGCAAAUAGGAUACUAUUUUGGCAUUAACACAUAUGAAAGAUUCAGAUGAACCAAAUCUAAGCGGAAUUAAGGCUAGAAUGUUUCAAGAGAUUGGCGCAACUAUUAAUGUGGUUUUCUAUAUACUUGAUGUGCUCCAUCGGCACGCGACGCUGACCGCCAUUUUUAACUCGUUGGUCGUCGUAGGACAUCCCAUUGUUGAAAAUCAUCUUUUUUGAAAGGCAACGGGUUUUUUUUAUUUUUAAUAUUGAGCGUUGAUUCAAACAUUUUUUUACACACUCGAAUUUUCCCUUUAAUAGCUGGUAAAAAAUAUUUACGUGUGUAUAAUCUCCGUGAGUUGAGAACCCAUAAAAAUAAUGUAUGUAUUAUUUAAAUAGAUUUUAAAAUUUAUGUUAUUUAACUAACCGUUUGUCGACUUGUUUCACUAAUCACUAUAUGAUUCCUAAUAAAUUGAUUUUGGCCUGAA